ACAUGCAAGUCGAGCGGACAGAUGGGAGCUUGCUCCCUGAUGUCAGCGGCGGACGGGUGAGUAACACGUGGGUAACCUGCCUGUAAGACUGGGAUAACUCCGGGAAACCGGGGCUAAUACCGGAUGCUUGAUUGAACCGCAUGGUUCAAUUAUAAAAGGUGGCUUUUAGCUACCACUUACAGAUGGACCCGCGGCGCAUUAGCUAGUUGGUGAGGUAACGGCUCACCAAGGCAACGAUGCGUAGCCGACCUGAGAGGGUGAUCGGCCACACUGGGACUGAGACACGGCCCAGACUCCUACGGGAGGCAGCAGUAGGGAAUCUUCCGCAAUGGACGAAAGUCUGACGGAGCAACGCCGCGUGAGUGAUGAAGGUUUUCGGAUCGUAAAACUCUGUUGUUAGGGAAGAACAAGUACCGUUCGAAUAGGGCGGUACCUUGACGGUACCUAACCAGAAAGCCACGGCUAACUACGUGCCAGCAGCCGCGGUAAUACGUAGGUGGCAAGCGUUGUCCGGAAUUAUUGGGCGUAAAGCGCGCGCAGGCGGUUUCUUAAGUCUGAUGUGAAAGCCCCCGGCUCAACCGGGGAGGGUCAUUGGAAACUGGGGAACUUGAGUGCAGAAAAGGAGAGUGGAAUUCCACGUGUAGCGGUGAAAUGCGUAAAGAUGUGGAGGAACACCAGUGGCGAAGGCGACUCUCUGGUCUGUAACUGACGCUGAGGCGCGAAAGCGUGGGGAGCGAACAGGAUUAGAUACCCUGGUAGUCCACGCCGUAAACGAUGAGUGCUAAGUGUUAGAGGGUUUCCGCCCUUUAGUGCUGCAGCAAACGCAUUAAGCACUCCGCCUGGAGAGUACGGUCGCAAGACUGAAACUCAAAGGAAUUGACGGGGGCCCGCACAAGCGGUGGAGCAUGUGGUUUAAUUCGAACCAACGCGAAGAACCUUACCAGGUCUUGACAUCCUCUGACAACCCUAAAAAUAGGGCUUCCCCUUCCG
rnacentral:rRNA from 1 species